rnacentral:tRNA from 1 species
GACCAUGUGGCCUAAUGGAUAAGGUAUCUGACUUCGGACCAGAAGAUUGAGGUUUUGGGUCCCUUCAUGGUUG